GCCGGGGUAGCUCAGUCAGUAGAGCAUGGGUCUCUUCGGACUCAGCAACACAGGUCAAUUUGUAAUGUUAAAAACGUGUUCUAAAAAUGUGACACCGGUUGGCGCUGUAGAGGAGAAUCCAAAGUCAAUGGCAGAUUGCCUGGGAACGUCUUUUCUUCAUAUAGAGUUUUUAAUAGCGGUUUGUUUUUUUUAAAUAUAUCUGUAUAGAUCUAGCCUUAAUCUCAGGGUCAUGGAUUUGAGCCCCAUGUUGGGCA